AACCUCAUUAGAAUACCGCAUCUAUAAAUAAACGUGACCUUGCCGCGGCUGAUUAUUCCCGUAGGUCUUAGCCACAGUGUCUUAGGUUUUAUCGCCGCGAUGCCUGAACCCACCAAGUCCGCCCCGGCCCCGAAGAAGGGCUCGAAGAAGGCGGUGACCAAGGCGCAGAAGAAGGACGGCAAGAAGCGCAAGCGCAGCCGCAAGGAGAGCUACUCGGUGUACGUGUACAAGGUGCUGAAGCAGGUGCACCCCGACACCGGCAUCUCGUCCAAGGCCAUGGGCAUCAUGAACUCGUUCGUCAACGACAUCUUCGAGCGCAUCGCGGGCGAGGCGUCGCGCCUGGCGCAUUACAACAAGCGCUCGACCAUCACGUCCCGGGAGAUCCAGACGGCCGUGCGCCUGCUGCUGCCCGGGGAGCUGGCCAAGCACGCCGUGUCCGAGGGCACCAAGGCCGUCACCAAGUACACCAGCUCCAAGUAGACACGCCAAGUAAGCGCCCCCUUACCCAGCCCCAAAGGCUCUUUUCAGAGCCACGCAUGCUUUCGAGAAAUGAGCUGUAAUCUCCUCUUUUGGAAAACUGUUUUCGGGUGUUUGAUAAGUUUGUAUCUAGCUAUGACUCCCACCAAUUUUCAGUUACAGGUGCGUAGAAAGUGUUUGCAAGUUACCGGGUCAGUAACCAUACCUACCGUAAACUACGUGCUCACGUCGAACGAAAAUGGUUCUAAACAACUAUUAUCCCUUCAAUUUCACAAAAGUAGAUAAUCUGAAGUGAAAAUCCCAUUUGAGGACACAGCUCUCGACUCCCUGGGCUGGGCUGCAGAUUGAUGAUGAGGCACUUGGUAAGGAAGGAGCAUACCCAGAGCACAAAGGAGGCUGCUCUGAAAACUGUUCUCCUCACCUUUUUUUUUUUCUUUUCCUUUUUAAUGGAUGGAGGUGAUACUGAAAACAGCCGAAGGCCGUGGGAGGGUCCCCAAAAAUGUACGUUGGCUUUUCUGGUCGGCCUGCCUUGCAGCUGCUCCCAUACCUGCUUGCUCUGAGCAGCCGGCCAGGGAGGGGGCCUCUCUGGGGGAGGAGGGUGGCAGAGUCUAUACUGUAUCCAAAAGUCGCAGGGGGGCCGGAAGGGAACGUGUCCGGGCUCUGAGAGGCCUUCCAGUCCUGUCAGUUACCGUCGCCUCUGUCCUAGGAAGUCCUAUUUCGCUUACAGUCUCUGGGAAGCAUUCAGCUGUAAAGUCCUCUGGGCCACGAGACAGAGGCCCACUACUCAGUCCCAUCAGGUGUGUGACUGUGAUGAGGUGAUGGUUCCCCCCGGGACCGAGGCCCCCUUCUCAGCACGCCGGCCGCUUCCCUGGCGUACCCUUGAGGAGAAAUAUGAAUGGAAAGAAGAAAUGAAUGUAAACACUAACUGAAAAUGUGGAUGAGCUCAUAGAAUUUAUCAAGUAUGAAUGUCUGUUUUGCCUGAGAAUGAUUGAUUAGUGUGCCUACCCUGCUCCAAUCUAACCCAUCCUGGUUUACUGUACAUGGAUUCCAAAAGCAUUAUCUCAGUGUAAGAGCCUAACUAAAGGGCUUUAGUAUUUUCAUUUCACUUGUUGUUUUAAUUACGAAAACAGAAUUUACUGCUGUUACAGGCCUACAGGGAAUCAUUAUUUAUAAUGGACUAUGUUUGCUGGAGAAGUCUAAAUGAGGAGGGUAAAAAGUCUCUAAUUGAGAUGUUAAGAUCAAUAAAAUUCGUGGAGAAAUGGAA